rnacentral:rRNA from 1 species
GAACGGAGAGAUUCAUCGUCACUCUGCGGCGCGUCGUGCGUCCGUUCGAUUCUGCUCACCCUCGGGGGGGCGGUACGGACGACGUCGACCGUGUCCGUGGACGGCGUGCACUUCUCUCUUAGUAAGACAUCGCGACCCGCUCGAUGUACGUCUACGCCCCGUACGGGAGCCCGGCGGCACUCGCUGCCUUCGGACCGAACGGUGGCCGACCUACUGUCGGACGGUAUAAAGAUUUGAAUCGUGCACGCGCUUGCGCGCGUCCGGCACGACGCAAUAUGUCGCCGUACGGCGUUCCUGCCUCGCGGCGGUUCGUUGUGCGGUUGUGUAUGUUGUCGCACCCGUAUAGUCUCGGACUGUGCACGUCUCGGUCUGCGAUGAUUCAGUUUCGGGCACUCGCAGGACCCGUCUUGAAACACGGACCAAGGAGUCUAGCAUGUGUGCGAGUCAUUAAGAUUUGAAAACUGAAAGGCGUAACGAAAGUGAAGGUGUGUGCUCGUCACGCGCUCAGGGAAGAUGGGGUGCGAUCUCGGUCGCGCUCUCGCACUCCCGAGGCGUCUCGUUUCCAAUUUGUGAAUGUAGGCGCGCUCUGAGCCCCAGAUGCUGGGACCGAA